UACGUAGGGCGCAAGCGUUGUCCGGAAUUAUUGGGCGUAAAGAGCUCGUAGGCGGCUUGUCACGUCGGAUGUGAAAGCCCGGGGCUUAACCCCGGGUCUGCAUUCGAUACGGGCAGGCUAGAGUGUGGUAGGGGAGAUCGGAAUUCCUGGUGUAGCGGUGAAAUGCGCAGAUAUCAGGAGGAACACCGGUGGCGAAGGCGGUGGUCUGGGCCGGUACUGACGCUGAGGAGCGAAAGCGUGGGGAGCGAACAGG
rnacentral:rRNA from 1 species